GAUGAACGCUAGCGAUAGGCUUAACACAUGCAAGUCGAGGGGCAGCAUGGUCUUAGCUUGCUAAGACUGAUGGCGACCGGCGCACGGGUGCGUAACGCGUAUGCAACUUGCCUCACAGAGGGGGAUAACCCGUCGGAAGACGGACUAAUACCGCGUACACUCCAUCUUGGGCAUCCAAGGUAGAGGAAAUGAAAUUCGCUGUGAGAUAGGCAUGCGUCCCAUUAGCUAGUUGGUGAGGUAACGGCUCACCAAGGCGACGAUGGGUAGGGGAACUGAGAGGUUGAACCCCCACACUGGUACUGAGACACGGACCAGACUACUACGGGAGGCAGCAGUGAGGAAUAUUGGUCAAUGGGCGAGAGCCUGAACCAGCCAAGUCGCGUGAAGGAUGACUGUCUUAUGGAUUGUAAACUUCUUUUAUACGGGAAUAACAAGAGUCACGUGUGACUCCCUGCAUGUACCGUAUGAAUAAGCAUCGGCUAACUCCGUG
rnacentral:rRNA from 1 species